CAUGUUGAAACGAGUGUUCCGAGUGCCGCCUGUUGGGACACUCCCAGUGACUGUAGUUUGUGGGCUCGGCUUGCGUUGCUUUGGAAGCUGCAGCUAUGCGUUCCGACUCCGACACCUUCAGCAGGGGUCUGGAACCAGACAGUUUCCCCGCCGCCAAACUGAACCGGUGACUCCCGCAAUGACAGACCAAAAAGGAUGCAGACUGUCCAGCAGAGUUCCUCCAGCCUUUUGUGUGUGUUGAUCUUGGCUUCUCGUAUCACUCAGCACUGCCAUCUGUUUAACAGGACAUCCCCUUGGGAUUUCUAAUGAUUAACAGGACAGCCCAGGAUGUGCACCAGAUGCUGGGCUGUCAACAAUUCCAUACUUUAGAAAUAAACACAGAAUAACUUUCCUCCCAACAUGUGAAAGGAAGCACAAGAGGCUUCAGCUGAUCCAGGGAUGGGGUCCUGCUUCACAUCUGCAGGUGCAGGUACCCCAGGAAGUAUGCUGCCUGUGCACAGCAGGAUCCCACAAGCAACUCACCAAGGGCAAUCAAUGCUAGGCCUGAUGAAGGGCCUCGACCCAAAAUGUUGACUGCUUCUUUCAACGGACGCUGCCCAACCUGCGGAGUUCAUCCAGCUUUUUUGUGCGUCUCAAUACUAGGCCUACUUUGGGACUGGCCAUCCAGCCAAUCCUCAUUAGGAGAUUGGAGGUGAAGUAGUCAGUAACAUUAAAUUCCUUGACGUUACCAUAUCAAACAGUCUGUCCUCGGACAGCACAUAAAUGUCAUCACAAAGAAGGCACAACGGUACCUCUAAUUUCUUAAGGUUUGCAUGGAUUCAGUAUGUCAUCUAAUACUUCUGUGAAAUUCUAUAGAUCCCCAGUGCAGAGAUUUCUGACCAGUUGCACUAUGACCUGGUAUGGACACUCCGAUGUCCAAGAAUGGAAAAGCCCUACAAAACUUGGUUGACACUGUCCAAUCUAUCACAGGGAAAGGCCUCUCCACCAUUGAGCACAUUUACAAGGAGUGGUACCACAAGAAAGCAGCAUCCAUCAUCAAGACCAUGCUCUCUUCUACACACUACCAUCAGGAAAAUUGUACAGAAGCCUUAGGGCCCAUGCCACCAGGCUCAGGAACAAUUAUAACCCUUCAACCAUCAGGCUUGUCAACUGGCGUGGAUAACCUCACCCACCACAACACUAAGCAGAUUCCAUAACCUAAAACUCACAUUCAAGGACUCUACAACUCAUGUUCUUAGUUUUAGUUAUUUAUUUACUUUUCAAAGUUCUUUGCAUAAUUUUCCUUCAUUUGCACAUUAUUUGUUUGUCAAUCUUUGAUUAAAUCGAGAUCAGUUUUUCAUAAA